rnacentral:rRNA from 1 species
UACGAAGGGGGCUAGCGUUGCUCGGAAUCACUGGGCGUAAAGCGCACGUAGGCGGAUUGCUAAGUCAGGGGUGAAAUCCUGGAGCUCAACUCCAGAACUGCCUUUGAUACUGGGGAUCUCGAGUCCGGGAGAGGUGAGUGGAACUCCGAGUGUAGAGGUGAAAUUCGUAGAUAUUCGGAAGAACACCAGUGGCGAAGGCGGCUCACUGGCCCGGUACUGACGCUGAGGUGCGAAAGCGUGGGGAGCAAACAGG